UCCCGGGUCGUCUAAUGGCAGGACACAAGGUUUUGGUCCUUGGAAUCUAGGUUCGAAUCCUAGCCCGGGAACCA
rnacentral:tRNA from 1 species